UACAGAGGUCUCAAGCGUUGUUCGGAUUCAUUGGGCGUAAAGGGUGCGUAGGCGGCGCGGUAAGUCGGGUGUGAAAUCUCGGGGCUUAACUCCGAAACUGCAUUCGAUACUGCCGUGCUUGAGGACUGGAGAGGAGACUGGAAUUUACGGUGUAGCGGUGAAAUGCGUAGAUAUCAGGAAGAACACCCGUGGCGAAGGCGGCUCUCUGGUACGUGACUGACGCUGAGACGCGAAAGCGUGGGGAGCAAACAGG
rnacentral:rRNA from 1 species